UUAUUUGAUCUAAAUAUUGGAUGAAGUUUUUACUAUAUAAAGUGAUCAAACAAUCCACCAUUUGUUAUAUACAAAGUUAAAACAUACAUAAAAAUAUGGCUGAAAUUCUCAAGUUUUUUUAUAUUGCGAUCAUUUAUCUUUCUUUGUUUCUUGUUGUAUUCGAGGAUAAAAGAGAGUGUGAUACUAACUUCGAUUGUCAGCAAAAGUUUUCUACUCAAGCUGAAGAUCUUUUGUGGUGCAUUAGGGGUUAUUGUAUGAGCAUUCCCAAUUAGGGUUAUCCCCACAACAAGAUUGAGGAGUAGAAUCAAGGCAUGUGUGUACGAGACUAAAGUGGAUGGUUAUUCCCUCACCUAUAAUAUGUUGUUCUUUAAAGUUUGUUGGAUUAUUGUUUAUGUUUAAAUUGAGUUCUAUCCUCUGAUAUUGUGACAUCAGUAUUGAGUUUAAUAAUAUGCUCUUGUCUUAUUUUCUUGGAUCUUGAGAAAA